rnacentral:rRNA from 1 species
AUGCAGACGUUGGUAGAGCGCGACGGGUUCAUGCGCGCAAUGCCGCCGUCGAACUGGCCGUUCAAGGGCCACUCCAUGUCAUCCCCGGUGGACCCGAUCGCAUUCCACCUCCUGGAGCUGGACCUCCCCGCGGACGACUCUGACGACCGGCGCCAAGGCCCGCUCUGGCACCGGUGGAACCGGAAGCUCCUGUUCCACCUCACGCAAGAAAUCCUCGCCGACCUCCUCCACCUCGACGACAACGGCGCCUCCUCCGCAACCAGACUCCACGGGCCGGCGCUGCUAUCGAAGGUGUGGAGCACGGAAGGCGUUCCCGGCGGCAGACUGCAGGGUGGUGGGUAA